AGUUUUGUUCUAGAACAGUUUUUGUUCUUUCAUUUGAGAUAAUUUGAAUAAGAAGGAUCAAAGGAUUGGGAAAGGAAAAGUAAAAUAUUUGGCAGAAUAAAAAUGUUUUUUUUGGUAAUGAAGCCUUUAGAAAACUAAAGUUAAAUGAAAAAACUGAAGUAGAACUAAACUCUUACGUCUUAGGAGAACUUAGAUACAUAUGUGUCAGAGUCUGACUGUAUUUAUAUUCUAAACACACAUAUGAUCACACAACAUACAUACAGAGACUAUUUGUAUAACUGUAAAUAGAUGUGACGUAUGUAUAACUUAAAAAUCUUUUGAUAGGUCACAGUCGAACUGUUAUUGGAAUUGAAGAGAAAAAAAACCGAACAUUAUGCUUACUAAUACUUGAUCCUGGAUGUCCUUCUCGAGAAAUGCAGAAAUUAUUAAAGCAAGACAUAGAGGCUAGCAGUCUCAAGCAACUUCGGAAAUCUAUGGGAAAUUUAAAACAUAAGCAAUACCAGAUAUUGGCAGUAGAGGGUGCUCUUUCUCUAGAGGAGAAACUUGCCAGGAGACAAGCUUCUCAAGUCUUUACAGCCGAGAAGAUUCCUUGAAGAAUCAAGCAUUUAAGCAUUUCAGUGAUUGAGAACAAUACUUUGUUUUCUAAAUGUAGAUAUUGAACUCCUUAAUACAAUUAUGAAUCUGUGAAUUCUCUUAAGUCUUAACAUAUAAUUUAAUUUCUAAAAUGCCUGUGUUAAUUGAAUUAUACCUAUCAUACUUCAUUGUUUGGUAAAUUAUUUCAAUAAAAUGUCUUGUUUUUGCAUUGUG
rnacentral:lncRNA from 1 species